rnacentral:rRNA from 1 species
GACGAACGCUGGCGGCGUGCCUAAUACAUGCAAGUUGAGCGCUGAAGGUUGGUACUUGUACCAACUGGAUGAGCAGCGAACGGGUGAGUAACGCGUGGGGAAUCUGCCUUUGAGCGGGGGACAACAUUUGGAAACGAAUGCUAAUACCGCAUAAAAACUUUAAACACAAGUUUUAAGUUUGAAAGAUGCAAUUGCAUCACUCAAAGAUGAUCCCGCGUUGUAUUAGCUAGUUGGUGAGGUAAAGGCUCACCAAGGCGAUGAUACGUAGCCGACCUGAGAGGGUGAUCGGCCACAUUGGGACUGAGACACGGCCCAAACUCCUACGGGAGGCAGCAGUAGGGAAUCUUCGGCAAUGGACGAAAGUCUGACCGAGCAACGCCGCGUGAGUGAAGAAGGUUUUCGGAUCGUAAAACUCUGUUGGUAGAGAAGAACGUUGGUGAGAGUGGAAAGCUCAUCAAGUGACGGUAACUACCCAGAAAGGGACGGCUAACUACGUGC